rnacentral:rRNA from 1 species
UGAGGAAUAUUGGUCAAUGGGCGGGAGCCUGAACCAGCCAAGCCGCGUGAGGGAAGAAGGCCCUAUGGGUCGUAAACCUCUUUUGUCAGGGAACAAAAGCGAGUAUGUAUACUAGUCUGAGUGUACCUGAAGAAAAAGGCAUCGGCUAACUCCGUGCCAGCAGCCGCGGUAAUACGGAGGAUGCGAGCGUUAUCCGGAUUUAUUGGGUUUAAAGGGUGCGUAGGCGGCGAUGCAAGUCAGCGGUAAAAUGCCCGGGGCUCAACCCCGGCGAGCCGUUGCAAACUGCAGUGCUAGAGAAGGCGAGAGGUACGCGGAAUGCGCAGUGUAGCGGUGAAAGUGCUUAGAUAUUGCGCAGAACUCCGAUUGCGAAGGCAGCGUACUGGCGCCUGACUGACGCUGAGGCACGAAAGCGUGGGGGAUCGAACAGGAUUAGAUACC